AGAGAUGUGUGAUGACGCAUAUCAAUAAGCGGAGGAAAAGAAACUAACAAGGAUUCCCUUAGUAACGGCGAGUGAAGCGGGAAGAGCUCAAAUUUGAAAUCUUCAAGGUUCUACCUUGACGAAUUGUAGUUUAUAGAAGUGUUUUCUGUUAGUGGAGUGGCAAAAGUUCUUUGGAAUAGGACAUCAUAGAGGGUGAGAAUCCCGUAUUUGGUCAUUCCUCCUAGCGUUGUGAUACACUUUCAACGAGUCGGAUUGUUUGGGAAUGCAGUCCAAAAUGGGUGGUAAAUUUCAUCUAAAGCUAAAUAUUGGCGAGAGACCGAUAGCGAACAAGUACCGUGAGGGAAAGAUGAAAAGAACUUUGAAAAGAGAGUUAAACAGUACGUGAAAUUGUCAAAAGGGAAGCGUUUGACACCAGUGUUGUUUUUCCGAAAAUCAAUUACGAAUGUUUUAGUUUUUAAGGAGUUAUGACUUCAUCGGCUUGCUCCUUUCUUUAUGAAACUUUCUUAAUGCACUUUUCGGUUAACAAGUCAACAUCAAUUUCUUUUGUUGUAAAAGAGUAUGAGGAAGGUGGCUUUCUUUUCGAAGAAAGUGUUUAUAGCCUUGUACCUCUGCAAUCGGAGAGAUUGAGGUCUGCAGCGUAGAUCCUUCGGGGUUAGAUAGCAUUUGUGCUAAGUUAUAGCUUUCAUAGACAACUUGUUGACUAUGAUUAAGUCAUUGUAGUUUACUCGCUUAUGCUAUUUUACCUACGCUUAGGAUGUUGAUCUGUAGUGCGUGCGC
rnacentral:rRNA from 1 species